rnacentral:lncRNA from 1 species
GUAUGUAAAUAUUCAAAAAGCAAAAUUUAAAGAUGAAGCAAGCAGACAAGAAGAAGAAGAAGAAGAAGAAGAAGAAGAAGAAGAAGAAGGGGAAGAGGAAGAGGAAGAGGAAGAGGAAGAGGAAGAGGAAGAGGAAGAGGAAGAGGAAGAGGAAGAGGAAGAGGAAGAGGAAGAGGAAGAGGAAGAGGAAUGACAUAGAAAUGAUGAGAGAAGCACGAAGCACAUUAUGCAAACAAGUCCUCGUAAUUACUCAACAGACCUCAGUCUCCAGGUGCCCUCUUCUCACACAUUGUCUCACUGUUAUGAAAACAUCAGAAUUCAUGUGUCUUGGGUGUUGAAGCCAGAUAUGAAUAAUACUUUUGUCUAAAGUCACUUAACACUGAAGAGACACUGGAUUUUCAAAUCUCAUUUAAUUUUCUGUAAUGACUAAAGGGCAUUGUGGUACUUCGUGGCUUUCAUAGAAGUUAUGAUAUUUAAGAAAAUGAUUAAUUAAAACUGGGUUUGACAACAUUGAAGAGAAUCUCAGAACAAACAUGUUGCAAAGACCCUAACAAAUUUAAGUAAUUUUGGGAAAAGCAGAAAAAGAGGUGGAGUAAAAAGAGUAAAAAGGAUAACUGUUCACUGUUACUAACACAUAUUUUUUUGAUUUAGAACAAAAUUCUGAAAAUAAAAAAAAAAAAGGAAAACUCA